GUAUAGUUUUUAUAGGCACAAAGGCCCAUUGAAUACAUUCUAAGACAUACAUUGGGGUAUAUGAAGAAACAUAGGCCUGGAAAUGUAAGGAAAGACAUAGAGUCAGUCCUCAAACCUGGGUGGCUAGCACUCAGAGAGAUAUCCAGGUCUACAAAAGGUGCACAGGUGGAGAUAUAAAGAUGACAAGCGUGCACAUGCUCUCUAGAGAACCAGCAACAACCCAUCAGGUUUAUUUCAAUAAUGAUCCUUCCGCAGGUUCACCUACGGAAA
rnacentral:misc_RNA from 1 species